UUGAUCCUGGCUCAGAAUCAACGCUGGCGGCGUGCCUAACACAUGCAAGUCGAACGAGAAAGUGGAGCAAUCCAUGAGUAAAGUGGCGACCGGGUGAGUUACACGUGACUAACCUACCUUCGAGUGGGGGAUAACCUCGGGAAACCGGGUCUAAUACCGCAUAAUGCCUACGGGUUAAAGGAGCAAUUCGCUUGAAGAGUGGGUCGCGGCUGAUUAGCUAGUUGGCGGGGUAACGGCCCACCAAGGCGAUGAUCGGUAGCCGGCCUGAGAGGGCGCACGGCCACACUGGAACUGAAACAUGGUCCAAACUCCUACAGGAGGCAGCAGUGGGGAAUUUUGCGCAAUGGGGUAAACCCUGACGCAGCAACGCCGCGUGGAGGAUGAAGUCCCUUGGGACGUUAACUCCUCUCGACCGGGACGAUAAUGACGGUACCGGUGGAAGAAGCCCCUGCUAACUUCGUGCCAGCAGCCGCGGUAAUU
rnacentral:rRNA from 1 species